rnacentral:rRNA from 1 species
AAUCAACGCUGGCGGCGUGCCUAACACAUGCAAGUCGAACGCGAAAGGGGCUUCGGCUCUGAGUAGAGUGGCAAACGGGUGAGUAUCGCGUGGGUGACCUGCCCUCGAGUGGGGGAUAACGUUCCGAAAGGGACGCUAAUACCGCAUAACAUCCCGCUUUUGAACAGGCGGUGAUCAAAGCUGGGGACCGCAAGGCCUGGCGCUUGAGGAGGGGCCCGCGUCCGAUUAGCUAGUUGGAGGGUAACGGCCUACCAAGGCGACGAUCGGUAGCCGGCCUGAGAGGGCGACCGGCCACACUGGGACUGAGACACGGCCCAGACUCCUACGGGAGGCAGCAGUGGGGAAUCUUGCGCAAUGGGCGAAAGCCUGACGCAGCGACGCCGCGUGAGGGAUGACGGCCUC